GAGUGAAGAGGGAAGAGCUCAUCAUUGGAAUCUGGCAGUGUUGCACUGUCCGAGUUGUAGAUGAGGAGUAGUCCGUCUGGACUGCAUGGCGUCCAAGUACAAUAGGCCGUCAGUGGGACAUCAUAGAGGGUGACAAUCCCGUCCUUGACGCCAUGUGCAAGUCUAUUACGAUGGCUAUCUCAGAGAGUCGAGCAGUUUGGGAUUUGCUGCUUAAACAUGGGAGGUAGAUUCCUUCUAAAGCUAAAUACAGGCGAGAGACCGAUAGAGAACAAGUACCGCAAGGGAAAGAUGAAAUAGCACUCUGUGAAGGGAGUCAAAAGGCGUGAAAUUGUUGCGAGAGAAGCGAUUCAAGUCAGCGUAGCUAGGCCCAUCAAGCGUCUUCGCUUUGGACUAGCUUUGCCAGCGGUCUUGUCCCUUCAAGAGACUUGACUUGUAAUAUGUCCAGCCUGGCGUGCACAGGCAGCCCCUUCUGGGGGCCAGUGGCAUGGCUGGUGGAAUGGCUUGCAAUCGACCCGUCUUGAAACACGGACCAAGGAGUCUAACAUGUAUGCGAGUAUAAGGGUGGCAAACCCGUAUGCGCAAUGAAAGUGAUUUUCGGUGAUUGAGAAUGGCCUGAUGACCAGACAAGCAAUAUAUGUCCCUCGUACGGCCAUUGCCCAAGUUCCGUGGUAGAUCCCACGAACAUGGAGUUGGAGCAUACAUGCUAGGACCCGAAAGAUGGUGAACUAUGCCUGGACAAAGCGAAGCCAAAGGAAACUCUGGUGGAGGCUUGUAGCGAUUCUGACGUGCAAAUCGAUCGUCUGAUCUG
rnacentral:rRNA from 1 species